AAGUCGUAACAAGGUUUCCGUAGGUGAACCUGCGGAAGGAUCAUUACAGAGUUAGGGUUCAUCUGAGCCUAACCUCCAACCAUUUGUUUAAUUACUUUGUUGCUUUGGCAGGCCCGUUCCUUUCGAGGAGCAGCCGGGGGUUUAGUCACCUCUGGCCAGUGCUUGCCAGUAGCCAAAUCAAAUUCUUUUUUAACCAUGUCGUCUGAUACCUAAUUAUAAAUAUAAUUAAAA
rnacentral:misc_RNA from 1 species